rnacentral:rRNA from 1 species
AAUGCCUAGGAAUCUGCCUGGUAGUGGGGGAUAACGUUCGGAAACGGACGCUAAUACCGCAUACGUCCUACGGGAGAAAGCAGGGGACCUUCGGGCCUUGCGCUAUCAGAUGAGCCUAGGUCGGAUUAGCUAGUUGGUGAGGUAAUGGCUCACCAAGGCGACGAUCCGUAACUGGUCUGAGAGGAUGAUCAGUCACACUGGAACUGAGACACGGUCCAGACUCCUACGGGAGGCAGCAGUGGGGAAUAUUGGACAAUGGGCGAAAGCCUGAUCCAGCCAUGCCGCGUGUGUGAAGAAGGUCUUCGGAUUGUAAAGCACUUUAAGUUGGGAGGAAGGGUUGUAGAUUAAUACUCUGCAAUUUUGACGUUACCGACAGAAUAAGCACCGGCUAACUCUGUGCCAGCAGCCGCGGUAAUACAGAGGGUGCAAGCGUUAAUCGGAAUUACUGGGCGUAAAGCGCGCGUAGGUGGUUUGUUAAGUUGGAUGUGAAAUCCCCGGGCUCAACCUGGGAACUGCAUUCAAAACUGACUGACUAGAGUAUGGUAGAGGGUGGUGGAAUUUCCUGUGUAGCGGUGAAAUGCGUAGAUAUAGGAAGGAACACCAGUGGCGAAGGCGACCACCUGGACUAAUACUGACACUGAGGUGCGAA